UUGCCCCCCAAUGCGUACAUGUGCUCCUAAAUGACAAAUUAGGAGCAAACAAUGAAAUCAUGGAGCACUGUGAAAAAUAUAAAUAUAUAUUCACAGGAUGUAUUAACUCGGUGAUGAGCAGACUUCUCCUCAGUUUAUCUUUCACAUUAACUCAUUACUCUGACUUACUGUCUUUAGCACAUCACCAUCACUAAAUAUCUUAGUUAUCAAUCAAUGUGUUGUCUUACUGCCACAGAAAAUGAAUAAACUGUUGGGUUAUUAGCACGAUGUCGCCUCCCUGUUGUCUCUUGUCAGACCACCAGUUCCGUGAGAGGCACAAACUGAAGCUAGAGUGUGCUAAUAUUUAACGUUACGUGGCGGCGUUUCUUUUCAGGGAAACUAAUGUACUGCUAAUAAACAUUGUACAUCAUCUAGGUUUUGAACCAUUACCAGCGGGGCAAAAUAAAUAUACAUUACACUCUUACCUGUCCAGCUUUAAACAGGAAACUUCGGCGUCAGUCUGCAAACAUUUCUCUCAUCAGGGAUUUCCAUCUGGGUUUAUCCUUGUUUUAUGCCGUUGCUUGUCCCGAUUUCGUUUAGCUUCUUCGUGUUUUCGUUUCUUUGACGAGACAUGUCACGCUCUUGUGAUUUUCUAAAUAAGGAUGAUCCUCCAUUUAUCAGAUUUUGGUUUCAAAAACUUCUCACAAUACAAAACGUUUGGUCCGUUCUUCUUCUUCGUUUUAAAACCGGUGCAUUUCCAGUAGUCGCCCACUGAAUCUAAAACACGUAAGGCCCUCACUGGAACCAGUGUUAGGUUUGUCUAUUCUAUGCUACUGUAGAAACAUGGCAAUGCAACAUGGGAGCCACUGUGGAGUGGGACUCGCUCCCAUGAAGAUAUAAAGGGCUUAUUUCUAAGUUUGUCUCUCUCUGUGUUUGUGUGUAUGCUGGGCAUGGCAUCCUGGUUUCCCUCUCCCACUUUCAACCAGUGCACCUGCAGCUGAUCAUCUAAUCAACUUAACAAGCCACUGCAGCAUAAAACCUGGGCUCAUCCGUCAAGACUCAUUCAGUCAGAUCAUUCAGUCUACUACACGGUAUCAACGUCAGGCCAAGUUGUAGUUUAUUGAGCUUCGUACUAGUUUUCAUUUUCUUAUUCUGAGUCUCUCUGUGCACCAGGUUACCAAUCCAGUCUGCCACCAUUGCCUCCCACAAACAGCUUCAUCCUUGUCAUCUACCUCUGGUUUUGGAUCCUCCACUUAUCGCCUGCCCAGCUUUGCUGAGAACCUCAUUCUCCAACCUGCAGACUACACAGAACCCUUCAUCUGCCCUGCUCCUCCUGCAAUAAAUCCUUUUCUAAACCACUCCUGUCUGAGUCUGUGUCCUGCAUUUCAGGUCCUAGACUGAGUAACUAUAACACUUGUACUUCUCCACGCUUGCCCCGCUUCCAUGUCCUGUUGCACCGCUUUCAAUGUUUCCUCUCUGGCGCAGCUCCAGGCAAGGCCAUAGUCUCCACUGGGUCCACUGGGUGUAACAGACAAGCGUGCUCAGCUGAUUUAGCUCUCCCAGCCAAUAUUUCUCGUAGCAAAAGUGCUUGUUACAAAUGUCCAAAAGAAAUUGACAAGCAUAGACAUAUUUCCCUUGCACUCCACACGAUGAUAUAGAUGUAGCCAUAGACAUGGACAAAGACACUGCAAAGUCAGAACUAGGAGAGGCCACUGCAAACGUCAGUCACGCCACCAUCACACCAGUUCAUGGAGAGAGAGAGAGAGAGAGAGAAUAUCACCAACAAGGACCCCUUAAUUUCUCUUCUUGUCUUCACAAAACAACUCUUCUGUUAUCUUCAUGAUGGGUCAUUAACCUAUCGGAUUUAGCUACACUGAGCACAGCUGUUUAACUCAGGAAUCAGCUGGUAGACACAACGGAUAACGACUCUUAAGCACUCUUCUACGUGUGAGGAGUUCUCAGACACACCACUGCCUGAAUAGAGAGAUCAAGCCCUGGAAACUGGCCCUAGUAGCCCUUGACAUCUUCAAAUUACUCAUUGUCACAGUUUGCACAUUGGCACAGGUCCCAUAGAUCACUUAUUCCGUCCCAGCACCUCUGGGGAAAAGUAGCGGCUAGGUGUGCACAUGCCUCUCUCUUGUGACAGAAUCAGAUUCACAGAUCAAUAUUCACAGUUGAAGUUCAAGAUCCACAUUCACACUAAUAUUCUUUGCAUGAUACCAACCGUCUUCUGCAAUAUCUUUUUGAAUUAAAAGUGCCUUUUCACUUCU